GACGAACGCUGGCGGCGUGCUUAACACAUGCAAGUCGAACGGAAAGGCCCUGCUUUUGUGGGGUGCUCGAGUGGCGAACGGGUGAGUAACACGUGAGUAACCUGCCCUUGACUUUGGGAUAACUUCAGGAAACUGGGGCUAAUACCGGAUAGGAGCUCCUGCGGCAUGGUGGGGGUUGGAAAGUUUCGGCGGUUGGGGAUGGACUCGCGGCUUUUCAGCUUGUUGGUGGGGUAGUGGCUUACCAAGGCCUUGACGGGUAGCCGGCCUGAGAGGGUGACCGGACACAUUGGGACUGAGAUACGGCCCAGACUCCUACGGGAGGCAGCAGUGGGGAAUAUUGCACAAUGGACGGAAGCCUGAUGCAGCAACGCCGCGUGCGGGAUGACGGCCUUCGGGUUGUAAACCGCUUUCGCCUGUGACGAAGCGUGAGUGACGGUAAUGGGUAAAGAAGCACCGGCUAACUACGUG
rnacentral:rRNA from 1 species